GGGGGCAAGCGUUGUUCGGAAUUACUGGGCGUAAAGGGCGCGUAGGCGGCCUGCUAAGUCGGAUGUGAAAUCCCUCGGCUCAACCGAGGAACUGCAUCCGAUACUGGCGGGCUUGAAUCCGGGAGAGGGAUGUGGAAUUCCAGGUGUAGCGGUGAAAUUCGUAGAUAUCGGGAGGAACACCAGUGGCGAAGGCGGCGACCUGGGCCAAUACUGACGCUGAGGUGCGAAAGCGUGGGGAGCAAACAGG
rnacentral:rRNA from 1 species